rnacentral:rRNA from 1 species
AAGUCGAACGGUAACAGGAAGCAGCUUGCUGCUUUGCUGACGAGUGGCGGACGGGUGAGUAAUGUCUGGGAAACUGCCUGAUGGAGGGGGAUAACUACUGGAAACGGUGGCUAAUACCGCAUAACGUCGCAAGACCAAAGAGGGGGACCUUCGGGCCUCUUGCCAUCAGAUGUGCCCAGAUGGGAUUAGCUGGUUGGUGAGGUAACGGCUCACCAAGGCGACGAUCCCUAGCUGGUCUGAGAGGAUGACCAGCCACACUGGAACUGAGACACGGUCCAGACUCCUACGGGAGGCAGCAGUGGGGAAUAUUGCACAAUGGGCGCAAGCCUGAUGCAGCCAUGCCGCGUGUAUGAAGAAGGCCUUCGGGUUGUAAAGUACUUUCAGC